rnacentral:misc_RNA from 1 species
UUUCCGUAGGUGAACCUGCGGAAGGAUCAUUACCUAGAGUUGUAGGCUUUGCCUGCUAUCUCUUACCCAUGUCUUUUGAGUACCUUCGUUUCCUCGGUGGGUUCGCCCGCCGAUUGGACAAAACUUAAACCCUUUGUAGUUGCAAUCAGCGUCAGAAACAAAACAAUAAUUACAACUUUCAACAACGGAUCUCUUGGUUCUGGCAUCGAUGAAGAACGCAGC